rnacentral:lncRNA from 1 species
GAAGACUUGCCUCCCGCCAGGAGCCUUCGGCCCUCUUAGUAGUGGAUGUGGGCUUCCUCCCUCUGAGGGGACGUCCUGAUGGAUACGAGAUGUGGGGCGCCCGUGGGUGGCCGCCUGCUCCUGCCACAGUCCCCCUUGGGGCCUGAGCUGCGGCUGCUGCCUCCGUAGGGAAGGAACAAUGGGGGGUGGGCCCGGGGUGGGCCCGCCCCACCCAGAGAGAGUGGGCCGUGUUGCCUGCAAGGCCUCAGCCAGGGGACCACGUUUCUCUGCAUCUCGUAGCUUUGGGUUCUGCAGGCUGUUUGUGGGAGAACAGGAAACAGUCCCAGAGAUGACGCUGCCUCAUGCAGGUUAACAGAGUUGGAGGUCAGGCCGACGCCUGUCACCGCACAGGGCCUGCGUCCAGGGUGCCUCGGCCAGGCCUCUGCGUCCAGCGCAAGGCCCUGGCACACGCAUCCAGGCUUGCAGGGGGACGGCACAGGGUUCUGUCGGCCUGUACUGUGGGGCGGACUCUGCGUGUCAGGGGUCCGGCUGUGUGAGGGGUGUGCUCUGUCUCAGCAUCCUAUGCCCACCUCAGGCCAAGGCCGUGGGUCUCGUAGGCCUCUAACCGCUGGGCCUCAGAUACCUUCUCCUCCUUGGAAAAGGCAUAAAGGCCUCCCCUCCCCAAGUCGCGAACCUCGGUUUUGCUGAAGGCUUGUGGAGGAUAUUGAAAGAAGGCAGGAGUAGGCUCUGAGUGGGUGUUCACGGGAAGGGAGGCCCUAUGCAAAGCCCCGAUCCUACAAGGUUCUGGGGUCCCCGGUGUGGCCUGGGGCCCCCACAGCUCCUGUUGGCUCCUGCCGGUGGCCACAGAGGAUCCACGUGGCCUCCUCUCUCACUGAGCCCACCCGGGACCCAGGCAGAGAGCACCUGGGGCAGUCUGGGAUCAGGUGGGGAGGGCUGGAUG